rnacentral:rRNA from 1 species
AAUAGAUACCCGAGUAGUCCAUGCCGUAAACGUUGGGAACUAGAUGUGGGGGCCAUUCCACGGCUUCCGUGUCGCAGCUAACGCAUUAAGUUCCCCGCCUGGGGAGUACGGCCGCAAGGCUAAAACUCAAAGGAAUUGACGGGGGCCCGCACAAGCGGCGGAGCAUGCGGAUUAAUUCGAUGCAACGCGAAGAACCUUACCAAGGCUUGACAUAUACGAGAACGCUUCAGAAAUGAAGAACUCUUUGGACACUCGUAUACAGGUGGUGCAUGGUUGUCGUCAGCUCGUGUCGUGAGAUGUUGGGUUAAGUCCCGCAACGAGCGCAACCCUCGUUCUAUGUUGCCAGCGCGUUAUGGCGGGAACUCAUAGGAGACUGCCGGGGUCAACUCGGAGGAAGGUGGGGAUGACGUCAAAUCAUCAUGCCCCUUAUGUCUUGGGCUUCACGCAUGCUACAAUGGCCGGUACAAAGGGCUGCAAUACCGCAAGGUGAGCGAAUCCAAAAAGCCGGUCUCAGUUCGGA